GUAAAUAUAAUUUAACAAAAAUACUAGUUUGUGAAACUAGCAAUAGAAGAUAUAGACCUUCUUAUUUACC
rnacentral:tRNA from 1 species